AACGAACGCUGGCGGCAGGCCUAACACAUGCAAGUCGAACGAAGCCUUCGGGCUUAGUGGCGGACGGGUGAGUAACACGUGGGAACGUACCUUUUGGUUCGGAACAACUCAGGGAAACUUGAGCUAAUACCGGAUGAGCCCUUAGGGGGAAAGAUUUAUCGCCGAAAGAGCGGCCCGCGUUAGAUUAGCUAGUUGGUGAGGUAAAGGCUCACCAAGGCUACGAUCUAUAGCUGGUCUGAGAGGAUGAUCAGCCACACUGGGACUGAGACACGGCCCAGACUCCUACGGGAGGCAGCAGUGGGGAAUCUUGCGCAAUGGGCGAAAGCCUGACGCAGCCAUGCCGCGUGAAUGAUGAAGGUCUUAGGAUUGUAAAAUUCUUUUACCAGGGACGAUAAUGACGGUACCUGGAGAAAAAGCCCCGGCUAACUUCGUGCCAGCCGCCGCUGUAACAC
rnacentral:rRNA from 1 species